AUUGAACGCUGGCGGCAUGCUUUACACAUGCAAGUCGAACGGUAACAGGCCGCAAGGUGCUGACGAGUGGCGAACGGGUGAGUAAUGCAUCGGAACGUGCCCAGUCGUGGGGGAUAACGCAGCGAAAGCUGUGCUAAUACCGCAUACGAUCUGUGAUGAAAGCGGGGGACCGUAAGGCCUCGCGCGAUUGGAGCGGCCGAUGUCAGAUUAGGUAGUUGGUGGGGUAAAGGCUCACCAAGCCGACGAUCUGUAGCUGGUCUGAGAGGACGACCAGCCACACUGGGACUGAGACACGGCCCAGACUCCUACGGGAGGCAGCAGUGGGGAAUUUUGGACAAUGGGCGCAAGCCUGAUUCAGCAAUGCCGCGUGCAGGAAGAAGGCCUUCGGGUUGUAAACUGCUUUUGUACGGAGCGAAAAGGCUCUCUCUAAUACAGGGGGCUCAUGACGGUACCGUAAGAAUAAGCACCGGCUAACUACGUGCCAGCCGCCGCCGUAACAC
rnacentral:rRNA from 1 species